AGAGCAUCUCGAUGUCUACAUCGUCAAUCGCAUACAAGGAAUCAGUCCCAUUUGCGCAAUGCAGGUAGCCCAACUUGUACGCAUCUAUGGUGGCUUCAGACUUGGAUUCUUUAGCAGACUUAUGAUAGGCAUGAAAUCUAGCCAGGAGUUUGUCAUAGCUAAGGGAGAUGUCCGCAUUCUUAUGCUCAAGACGAAAGAAGGCAUCUUUUGGACUAGCCAAAUCAGCAGCGGAAGAGUUGAGCUCGGAAUCCUUCUCGGUAAGGGAGCUUUUCAGCCCAGAUAUCAUCGCCCUCAAAUCAGACGUCUUCUUCUCGUAGCGGGCCUACUCGGCAGAAAGCUGGCUGGCCAAUUCAGCAUUCUUCUU
rnacentral:lncRNA from 1 species